rnacentral:rRNA from 1 species
UAUACAUGCAAGUCGAGCGGACAGAUGGGAGCUUGCUCCCUGAUGUUAGCGGCGCGACGGGUGAGUAACACGUGGGUAACCUGCCUGUAAGACUGGGAUAACUCCGGGAAACCGGGGCUAAUACCGGAUGGUUGUUUGAACCGCAUGGUUCAGACAUAAAAGGUGGCUUCGGCUACCACUUACAGAUGGACCCGCGGCGCAUUAGCUAGUUGGUGAGGUAACGGCUCACCAAGGCGACGAUGCGUAGCCGACCUGAGAGGGUGAUCGGCCACACUGGGACUGAAACACGGCCCAGACUCCUACGGGAGGCAGCAGUAGGGAAUCUUCCGCAAUGGACGAAAGUCUGACGGAGCAACGCCGCGUGAGUGAUGAAGGUUUUCGGAUCGUAAAGCUCUGUUGUUAGGGAAGAACAAGUGCCGUUCAAAUAGGGCGGCACCUUGACGGUACCUAACCAGAAAGCCACGGUUAACUACGUGCCAGCAGCCGCGGUAAUACGUAGGUGGCAAGCGUUGUCCGGAAUUAUUGGGCGUAAAGGGCUCGCAGGCGGUUUCUUAAGUCUGAUGUGAAAGCCCCCGGCUCAACCGGGGAGGGUCAUUGGAAACUGGGGAACUUGAGUGCAGAAGAGGAGAGUGGAAUUCCACGUGUAGCGGUGAAAUGCGUAGAGAUGUGGAGGAACACCAGUGGCGAAGGCGACUCUCUGGUCUGUAACU